AACCUCGCUAACUUCCUACCUAACACUCCUACUGAGAACUGGGAAGAACUCAGCCACAGAUAUUGGGGCUUCUAGGGAGUCCUCAGGCUGGGACCACCUCCCUCUACAGUCAGAGCUGCCGGAGAGCCCUUGAGCAUCUGUCCAUUGGCCACUGGAAGUGUAGAGACUUUGCAAGGCAAAAGAACCACUGGCUUUGCUAAGAGACCCCUCCGCCGCCAUUGGCUAUCGCGAGAUCACAUGAAAUCCUGCUGUGAUCUCCCGACCAAAUCCUGAAGCUGUCGAGUUGUCCCCUUUGGACUUCAAGUUUUGCCUGUGAAAUGGGGAGGACAAAGGUGACAAACAGAGACCCAAGUUUCCCUCCUGCACUGCUGAGGGUCUGUGGACCCUGCUGAACUGCACCCAACACCAUCACCGACAGCCUAGACCUGCCUUUGAAUUUCAGUGCUGAGCGCAGGGUGGGUAGAGUGUUUAUUCUCUUAACACAAGUGCUUCCAAAACAGGGUAAACUGAAGCAGGCUUCACAUGCAGCUUUAUAAGGCUUUGAAAGUAAAAUUUCCUGAAGGGAAAGAAGCAACAUCUGAAAGCAACUGAGCCAAACAAAGCCCAUCUGAUAAAGAGGACUCAGCCUGGGGGCUGGGGGCUGGGGGCCAGGGUCACUGUAUUCUGUCUAAAGGGAGCGAGAGGAAGCAGAGGUAUGGGACGUGGUGCCCAGGUGGAGAUCUGCCACUGGAACUCACCAAGAGAGGCUCAGAUCCAGGUCCCCAGGGUGCAGGGUUACUACUCACAGUAAUGAGCCCCCAAGGUGCACAUGAACCAGGGGAUCAUUGCCAAGUCCAACUCAGUCUCUCCCUGCAGACCCCUCCCUGCAUUCCCUCCCCAGCUUGUCUCUUCUCCUAUCCCCUAGUGCCCGGCACCUGGCUCACUCUAUCCAGUCUCAGGAGGGGAUCCCUGCCUAAUCAGGAACAAGAGGCACCAGCUACGAGCAGGAUGCGGUCGGGUGUGGAAGUGACAGUUGGUCUCCAGGGCAUCCAUUAAAACCCAAAGGAAAACAGUAUCUAAGCAAC
rnacentral:lncRNA from 1 species